rnacentral:pre_miRNA from 1 species
UGAUGAUGAUGAUGAUGAUGAUGAUGAUGAUGAUGAUGAUGAUGAUGAUGAUGAUGAUCAUGAUCAUGAUCAUGAUCAUGAUCAUGAUCAUGAUCA